AGCAAAUUAGAUUACUUGCUGAACUUAAGCAUAUUAAUAAGCAAAGGAAAAGAAAUCAACUGAGAUUGCCUUAGUAAUGGCGAAUGAACCGGCAAAAGCUCAUUGCUGAAGCGUAUCAGAUUAACUUUUGGUAUGCAUUGUAGCAUUUGGGGUAACUCUUGUAGGAUGCCUGUUCGUGUGAGUUCCUUUGAUCAGGGCUUUUACCAUAGAAGGUGCUAGUCCUAUAAUCACGAAUAGUUGUGUCUUACAUUGUCUACCUUUCGAGUAGCGUAGUUUGAGAUUGCUACGCCAACGUGGGACGUAAACUUGUUCCAAAGCUAAAUAUCAUAACGAGACCGAUAGCGAACAAGUACCGUGAGGGAAAGUUGAAAAGCACUCUGAAGAGAGAGUUAAAUAGUACGUAAAACCGUACAGAAGAAAACGAAUGGCCGC
rnacentral:rRNA from 1 species